UUUCUCCUGGAAUACAUGAUGAAUUUUUAUGGAGGGUGGUGGAGGAAGGGAAGAACCACAUUCAAACGAAACCCAACAUCACUCUCCUUCUACAGUGUCAUUUCAAAAGCCAGAUAAAAGCCAGAUGAGGAAGCUGGGAAAAAGUGUCCAACGUAGCCGUUCUGAAAACCACCCUCCAUUUCAUUCUGGAGCCGGGAGGUCACACCCAGGCAUCAAAAUAGCUUCUCUCCUCAAAGUAAAUUAACUGAUGGAGAAAUUGAGGCUUGGAACUUUUGACUAACUUCGCAAGGCCACUCAGCAAUCCACAGAGCCAUACGGAUUGUACGACUCCGGACACGAAUUUCUGGGUGAAGCAUUGAAACAACGGAGACGUAAGUAGGUGUUGACUUUGCAAAUACGUGCUGCGUCCUCUUCAACUGUUCAAGCGGAACCUGGGGUUUAGACUUGCAAUCAGCCUGCAGGUGCCUUUUUAUGAAAAGACCUGGACCCCAACAGAAUGAAAAUAGUUAUCAUUUCAUUUCCACGUAAUUCAAUUGUUUUUUUUUUUUUUUCACAUAUAGGAAGAACUUUCUCCCAACCCCACUGCCUUUAAAAGUGAAUAAAACAUUUGUAUGCCUAAAAUUAGUUAGCUUUCCUAUCUGAGGUUCAUUUUAAUGCCAACUCAAUAAAAAAGUCAUUGUGAAGGUUAUAUUCAGUUUAGCUAAGCUUCCUGAAAGCGUCUAUUAAUUUCCCAGAUGAAAGUCUAUCAAAGAUGUCUCCCUCAUCUUUAUUCUCACUCUCAUGCCUAAGGCCCUUCCAUCUUUGGCUUCAGUCAUGGUGACAUUCUCCCAAACCACUGCCAGACGAUCUUUACAAACAUUUUUACUUGCUGCAAACAUUCUUACUUGCUCCCAACUGGCAACGGAAUAAAAUCCAAAUACUAAACAUGACAUUCAAGGGCUUCAUUACCAGAACACUCCCCUUUUUUUGUUGUCUUUUUUAAGCCAAACCAAAAUACUUCCAUCUUCCUAGCAUGCCAAGGACUGUUGUUAUUUAUCUUAAUGUCUGACAUUAAGUAAUAAACGACAUAAGAACUACAGAUAGGCGAGAUGUUUCUCUAUUAAUGGCUAUGUGAUGCCAGGGCUUGGGGUGGGAGAAACGAUAUGAAAAUCACUGCUCCAUCUCCUCCCAUUGGAACAACCCAACCUUUUGUUCCAAUUUAAACCUCCUUUGCUUCCCUUGACCGAAUCAACAGAGUAUCUUUAUAAAACAUUGCUAUACUGCAGCAUCUUCCAAGUAGAGAUUGUUCAUCCAAAGGGCAGCAAAAUAUUCUGCCAGUGUCAAACAUCUUAAAUACAACCUGGGGUGUGGUAUAGAGUUUAUAUUUGAUAGCUAGUGGAAAAUACUGAGCAAUGCCUCCAAAUGACACCCCCUCCACACACACACACACACACACACACACACACACACUCUUUAAAAAAAAAAAAAUCUCUUUCCUAAGAAGAUAGCGCUUGGAAAAUAAAGUUUGCUGGGUCAUGGAUCUGUGGUAUUCACCAGAGUUUCUCUGUCAUGUCCAUCGAUUCUUUCUACUCAUUCCUGUCAUCCAUUCAGAAGCAAAAUACAUGUUCCCUCAAGGUUUCCACAGGAGGCACAUUCAGCUCUCAAGUUCUUUUUUUACCAGGGUUGAUGGGGGAACUCUACAAGGGCAAUCCUCAUAGACAAAGAUCAGCAACAUCAAAUCUUUUUCUCUGUUCCAAGUAGAUUAGAGACUAACUUUUCUUAAGACUUUUGCAAUUGUCCGUAAAAAUCCAUCUAACUCAUCACUAUGGAACUAAAUUAAACCCCUUUGCAUUCACCAAAUGUUCUGCCAGAAGGAAUCUUUGUGUUUUGUCAAGGUAGAUAAACAAAAUGCUUCCCCCUAUAGCCGAGCUACAUUUAAAAGUUUAAAAGUUGAGGGGCGCCUG